ACUUCCAACUCAAAAAAUAACUUUAACUAAAAAGCAAAAAAUAACAUCCUACCUAUGUGCUACCUUCUGAUCAGUUUGAAGGCGGUGCCAAGCCAGUGAUGUUUUAAUUAAAUACGUUUAAACUACAAAAUUUCUGUGGUUAUUCCAGAAACUGCUUUAAUUAAAACACGACACUGGCUUGGCACCGCUUUCAAACUGAUCAGAAGGUAGCACAUAGGUAGGAUGUUAUUUUUUGCUUUUUAGUUAAAGUUAUUUUUUGAGUUGGAAGUCGGUUGAAUUUUUUUUAUUAAAAUUUUUAUUUUUUUAUUUUUAGUGUUAGCAUACCCACUGCGUGUGUACAGUCACAACCUAUCUAAGUGGAAAGUUCUCAUCAAUACAAAUUUAUCAAGUCCAAACACAAGGUAGCUACUGUGAACCGUCGAGGAGUUCUCUGCACUGUCCCUCGUCUUCAUCACCAGACCCUUAAUACAGUCACAUUCUAGGUGGAAUGUUCUCAUCAAUACAAAUUUAUCAAGUCCAAACACAAGGUAGCUACUGUGAACCGUCGAGGAGUUCUCUUCACUGUCCCUCGUCUUCAUCAUCAGACCCUUAAUACAGUCACAAUCCAUCUAGGUGGUAAGUUCUCAUCAAUACAAAUUUAUCAAGUCCAAACACAAGGUAGCUACUGUGAACCGUCGAGGAGUUCUCUUCACUGUCCCUCGUCUUCAUCACCAGACCCUUAAUACAGUCACAACCUAUAUAGGUGGAAAGUUCUCAUCAAUACAAAUUUAUCAAGUCCAAACACAAGGUAGCUACUGUGAACCGUCGAGGAGUUCUCUGCACUGUCCCUCGUCUUCAUCACCAGACCCUUAAUACAGUCACAAUCCAUCUAGGUGGAAA